AGCUUUGCACAGUGGCAGUAUCGUAGCCAGUGAGGUUUAUCCGAGGUGCAAUUAUUGCCAAAAGACUAUUGCCAGGCAAGGGGGUUUGUGCUCAUAAUCCCAACAAUUCAGGAGGUUUAGGCAAG
rnacentral:snRNA from 1 species